rnacentral:rRNA from 1 species
AAGCGGUGGAGCAUGUGGUUUAAUUCGACGCAACGCGAAGAACCUUACCAGGGCUUGACAUCCCCUGACCGCGUAUGAAAGUACGUUUUCACCCUCGGGUGACAGGGAGACAGGUGGUGCAUGGUUGUCGUCAGCUCGUGUCGUGAGAUGUUGGGUUAAGUCCCGCAACGAGCGCAACCCCUACGUUUAGUUGCUAACGCGUGAAGGCGAGCACUCUAGACGAACUGCCGUUGACAAAACGGAGGAAGGUGGGAUGACGUCAAAUCAUCAUGCCCCUUAUGUUCUGGGCUACACACGUGCUACAAUGGCCGGUACAGACGGACGCAAAGCCGCGAGGUGGAGCAAAUCCUAAAAAGCCGGUCUCAGUUCGGAUUGCAGGCUGCAAUUCGCCUGCAUGAAGUUGGAAUCGCUAGUAAUCGCGGAUCAGCAUGCCGCGGUCGAAUACGUUCCCGGGCCUU